rnacentral:rRNA from 1 species
AUUGAACGCUGGCGGCAUGCCUUACACAUGCAAGUCGAACGGCAGCACGGGUGCUUGCACCUGGUGGCGAGUGGCGAACGGGUGAGUAAUACAUCGGAACAUGUCCUGUAGUGGGGGAUAGCCCGGCGAAAGCCGGAUUAAUACCGCAUACGAUCUACGGAUGAAAGCGGGGGACCUUCGGGCCUCGCGCUAUAGGGUUGGCCGAUGGCUGAUUAGCUAGUUGGUGGGGUAAAGGCCUACCAAGGCGACGAUCAGUAGCUGGUCUGAGAGGACGACCAGCCAGACUGGGACUGAGACACGGCCCAGACUCCUACGGGAGGCAGCAGUGGGGAAUUUUGGACAAUGGGCGAAAGCCUGAUCCAGCAAUGCCGCGUGUGUGAAGAAGGCCUUCGGGUUGUAAAGCACUUUCGUCCGGAAAGAAAUCCUUGAUUCUAAUACAGUCGGGGGAUGACGGUACCGGAAGAAUAAGCACCGGCUAACUACGUGCCAGCCGCCGCCGUAA